UGUACCAGUGAUGAUAAUAUUAUGUCAUAAAUAUUUUGAUGAAUUUUAACAUGCACUACCAGCUGAGGUACU